rnacentral:rRNA from 1 species
AGUGGCGGACGGGUGAGUAACGCGUGAGAAUCUGCCUUGGGGUCGGGGACAACCACUGGAAACGGUGGCUAAUACCGGAUACGCCUUCGGGUAAAAGAUUUAUUGCCCUAAGAGGAGCUCGCGUCUGAUUAGCUAGUUGGUGAGGUAAGAGCUCACCAAGGCAGCGAUCAGUAGCUGGUCUGAGAGGACGAUCAGCCACACUGGGACUGAGACACGGCCCAGACUCCUACGGGAGGCAGCAGUGGGGAAUUUUCCGCAAUGGGCGAAAGCCUGACGGAGCAAGACCGCGUGAGGGAGGAAGGCUCUUGGGUUGUAAACCUCUUUUCUCAGGGAAGAAGCUCUGACGGUACCUGAGGAAUCAGCCUCGGCUAACUCCGUGCCAGCAGCCGCGGUAAUACGGAGGAGGCAAGCGUUAUCCGGAAUUAUUGGGCGUAAAGCGUCCGCAGGUGGCGAUUCAAGUCUGCUGUCAAAGCACGGGGCUUAACUCCGUAAAGGCAGUGGAAACUGAAUAGCUAGAGUGCCGUAGGGGUAGAGGGAAUUCCCGGUGUAGCGGUGAAAUGCGUAGAGAUCGGGAAGAACAUCGGUGGCGAAAAGCGCUCUACUGGACGGCAACUGACACUCAGGGACGAAAGCUAGGGGAGCGAAUGGGAUUAGAUACCCC